AAGUCGUAACAAGGUUUCCGUAGGUGAACCUGCGGAAGGGAUCAUUAAAUGAGAUCAUGCCCCGCUUCCGGGGGUUAAGGAACCCUUCCCACCCCCCAUGUUUCACCAGUAGCCCGGUUUGGCUUUGGGCCGGGUCCCGUUCGCAAGACGGGCCCGCCAGAGGACCCUUUAAAACCCGUAUUAUCAUUGUCGUCUGAGUACUAUCAAAUGUUUAAAAC
rnacentral:misc_RNA from 1 species